AUUGAACGCUGGCGGCAUGCUUUACACAUGCAAGUCGAACGGUAACAGGCCGCAAGGUGCUGACGAGUGGCGAACGGGUGAGUAAUGCAUCGGAACGUGCCCAGUCGUGGGGGAUAACGCAGCGAAAGCUGCGCUAAUACCGCAUACGAUCUAUGGAUGAAAGCGGGGGACCGUAAGGCCUCGCGCGAUUGGAGCGGCCGAUGUCAGAUUAGGUAGUUGGUGGGGUAAAGGCUCACCAAGCCAACGAUCUGUAGCUGGUCUGAGAGGACGACCAGCCACACUGGGACUGAGACACGGCCCAGACUCCUACGGAGGCAGCAGUGGGAAUUUUGGGACAAUGGCGCAAGCCUGAUCCAGCAAUGCCGCGUGCAGGAAGAAGGCC
rnacentral:rRNA from 1 species